GCGUGCAGUCGGGGGAUCCCAGCAAUGGGGGAACCGGCGUAAGGGGCAGUAAUGUGUGGGUACCUACCUUUGGGUUCGGGAUAGCCAUCAGAGAUGGUGGGUAAUACCGGAUGACGUCGUGAGACCAAAGAUUUAUCGCCCGAAGAGGGGCCCACAUGAUAUUAGCUAGUUGGUAGGGUAACGGCCUACCAAGGCGAAGAUGUCUAGCGGGUGUGAGAGCACGACCCGCGCCACUCGCACUGAGACACUGGCGAGACACCUACGGGUGGCUGCAGUCGAGGAUCUUCGGCAAUGAGCGCAAGCUUGACCGAGCGACGCCGCGUGAGCGAUGAAGGCCUUCGGGUUGUAAAGCACUUUAGUGGGGGAGAAAAGCCCGCAAGGGUGUGAUCUAUCCCAAAAAUAAGCACGGGCUAAGUUCGUGCCAGCAGCCGCGGUAAGACGAACCGUGCGAACGUUGUUCGGAAUCACUGGGCUUAAAGGGCGCGUAGGCGGGCUGUCAAGUCUGGGGUGAAAUGCCGCGGCUCAACCGUGGAACUGCCUUAGAUACUGACGGCCUCGAGGGAGGUAGGGGCGUGCGGAACUGUAGGUGGAGCAGUGAAAUGCGUUGAUAUCUACAGGAACUCCGGUGGCGGAAGCGGCGCGCUGGACCUCUUCUGACGCUGAGGCGCGAAAGCUAGGGGAGCAAACGGGAUUAGAUACCCCGGUAGUCCUAGCCCUAAACGAUGGGUACUAGAUAGUAGACUAGAUAUGGGUUUACUGUCGAACUAAAGUGCUAAGUACCCCGCCUGGGGAGUAUGGUCGCAAGGCUGAAACUCAAAG
rnacentral:rRNA from 1 species